CAAAGAGAUUCAAAUGGUGAUGAAUGAGCUGGAUGAGGAGAAAAGGAAUCACUUGUCAUUACAGAUGGACGUGGCACAGAUGAAGAAGCACAAGUCUAAAUGAGCAGGCAAGCUCAAACAGCAUGGCAUCACCAACAAUGCCAGAACAAGUGGUAAUCUGUCUCUUAGAAUGUUCUCUCAAAAUUAAGUAUCAAUGAAAUCCAGACAGGAAGUUGCUGUAUAGUAUCAAUCAUUUAUGAAACAACAGGAAAACUAUAGGGAAUAUUUUAUUAAAUAUAAUGAACAAUCUUUGUUGUCUAUUUGAGAAAAGUUGAUGUAACAAAUGUAACAAAAUAAAACUAAUGAGCAUCUUCUACAAAAACAUUUUAUAUCAGCUUAUUAUGUGACAUUUUUUAAUAAAAUAAAAACAAAAAAACAA